rnacentral:rRNA from 1 species
UACGGGGGGGGCAAGCGUUGUUCGGAAUUACUGGGCGUAAAGGGCUCGUAGGUGGCCAAUUAAGUCAGGCGUGAAAUCCCCAGGCUCAACUUGGGAACUGCGUCUGAUACUGGCUGGCUUGAAUUCGGGAGAGGGAUGCAGAAUUCCAGGUGUAGCGGUGAAAUGCGUAGAUAUCUGGAGGAAUACCGGUGGCGAAGGCGGCAUCCUGGACCGAGAUUGACACUGAUGAGCGAAAGCCAGGGGAGCAAACGGG